UUUACUCAGAGGGAUGGCACUUUGUGUUACAAUUUUUGACUCGUUCCCCUUCUCCCUCCUUCUUAGUAAGAUCCUAAAGGUUGUUUUCUUUUGGCAGCUCAAUCAGAACCAUAAGUGUGAAAUGGAUUCCGGCCAUAUAUCCAACUGCUCUUCCCUCCCUCACUUUGCUCUGGCCUUAUCGGGAAACUUCGAAAACGUUGGCAUUUAUUUUACAUGUGAAAGAAGUUUAGGUGUCCCAGAGAGAUCAAGGAGGUCCCCAAGGAGCAUCCAUGAAAGAUUCUUUUCGUGGGCUGAGAGACUGGGAAUUUAGCAAUUAUCAGAACCUUUAAAGAUUUCGGCAGAAGGAAUUUUUUAAGCGCGUCAUGGCCCAGCAACAACCGUGAUGAAUAGAAAUAUUGGAGUUGCAUGACUGUCUUAUUUUGCACAUGUUGUGUCUUGACCCUUGAAAACAGAGGGUCAGUUUCGCAUAUGGUUGGGAGUUCCUGCGACGCACUUAUUAUGAAAGGAAACGGUAGCACAAAUACGGAUACAGGACACAUGACACGAUAUAAAACGGACGUGAAAUAUGUUUUUUUUUUUUUUUUU